UGGCAAUUACGGGUAACGGAGAAUUAGGGUUCGAUUCCGGAGAGGGGAGCCUGAGAAACGGCUACCACAUCUACGGAAGGCAGCAGGCGCGAAAAUUGCCCAAUCCUGAUUCAGGGAGGCAGUGACAAGAAAUAACAACUCUCAACAUUGUUGAGAAGUGUAAUGAGGAUAAUUUUACAAACCUUACCGAAAGCAAUUGGAGGGCAAGUCUGGUGCCAGCAGCCGCGGUAAUUCCAGCUCCAAAAGCGUAUAUUAAAGUUGUUGCAGUUAAAAAGCUCGUAGUUGAAGUUCUGGCUGUAUUGGGCCUCUGCACUUGAUGCGAAGGACCAGCAGUCAUCCGCUUGCAAAUACAUGUUCUUCCUUAACCGGUAGACUGUAUAAGUAAGCAAUUUACCUUGAGUAAAAACAGAGUGUUCCAGGCAGGUUUGUCCGGAAUGCAUUAGCAUGGAAU
rnacentral:rRNA from 1 species